rnacentral:rRNA from 1 species
UACGUAGGGUGCGAGCGUUAAUCGGAAUUACUGGGCGUAAAGCGUGCGCAGGCGGUGAUGUAAGACAGAUGUGAAAUCCCCGGGCUCAACCUGGGAACUGCAUUUGUGACUGCAUCGCUGGAGUGCGGCAGAGGGGGAUGGAAUUCCGCGUGUAGCAGUGAAAUGCGUAGAUAUGCGGAGGAACACCGGAUGGCGAAGGCAAUCCCCUGGGCCUGCACUGACGCUCAUGCACGAAAGCGUGGGGAGCAAACAGG